AACGCGAAGAACCUUACCUGGGCUUGACAUCCACGGAACCCUCCCGAAACGGAGGGGUGCCCUUCGGGGAGCCGUGAGACAGGUGCUGCAUGGCUGUCGUCAGCUCGUGUCGUGAGAUGUUGGGUUAAGUCCCGCAACGAGCGCAACCCUUGUCAUUAGUUGCCAGCAGUUCGGCUGGGCACUCUAGUGAGACUGCCGGGGAUAACUCGGAGGAAGGUGGGGAUGACGUCAAAUCAUCAUGCCCCUUAUGUUCUGGGCUACACACGUGCUACAAUGGCUGGUACAAAGAGAAGAGAGAUCGCGAGGUGGAGCAAAUCUCAAAAACCAGUCCCAGUUCGGAUUGUAGGCUGCAACUCGCCUACAUGAAGUCGGAGUUGCUAGUAAUCGCGAAUCAGAAUGUCGCGGUGAAUGCGUUCCCGGGUCUUGUACACACCG
rnacentral:rRNA from 1 species